rnacentral:rRNA from 1 species
CCUACGGGUGGCAGCAGUGAGGAAUAUUUGUCAAUGGGCGCAAGCCUGAUCCAGCCAAGUAGCGUGAAGGAUGACUGCCCUACGGGUUGUAAACUUCUUUUAUAAAGGAAUAAAUUGAGGCGCGUGUACCUUUUUGUAUGUACUUUAUGAAUAAUGAUCGGCUACCCCGUGUCAGCAGCCUGGGUAAAACGGAGGUUCCGAGCGUUAUUCGGAAUUAUUGGGUUUAAAGGGUGCGUAGUCGGGUUGUUAAGGCAGUUGUGAAAGUGUGCGGCUCAACCGGAAAAUUGCAAUUGAUACUGGUAGUCUUGAGUACAGUGGGGGUAGGCGGAAUUCGUGGUGUAGCGGUGAAAUGCUUAGAUAUCACGAAGAACGCCGAUUGCGAAGGCAGCGUACUAAACUGCCACUGACAUUGAUGCUCGAAAGUGUGGGUAUCAAACAGGAUUAGAUACCCGUGUAGUC